AAACAACAUUCACUGUGUCAACAGUUGUGCAAAGAACACAAUCCUUUUCUUGUGUUUCAUAAGGGCCGUGCCAUGAGGACAUGAACAGGUCUAGUCAGUGGGAAUAAUUUCUGUGGACAACUCACUGGUCGAAGAAUGCGGCGUGUCUCUUGCAGAGUUUGCUCUAUGCUGUUGACAGAGCAAAGAACCAGGGUGCAGACAACUGCGUCCACCGAUCCAUCGGCCACGGAGGACAGAUCCUCCCCCGACGCCACCAAGAACCUGUCGUAGACGAGGUGGUCGUUCACGCUCAUGUUUUUAUCCAAGUACUUCUGAAAAUUGGGGUUGGGGUCAGUGCAGAUGACCCUGCAGCCCGGGGGAUAAAACUCAAAAUUGGUGCCGCUCCCGCAGCCGAUCUCCAAAAUGGUGAGCUGUCCCCCCGGUCUGCUGAAGUCCGACACUUUACGAAACAACUCCUUCUUCUUGUCGUACAUUUGCUUGUUGUACUUGACAGAAAUCUGGUGCACGCAGAACGGGAAGACGCGUUUGUACGCGUUGUACAGACCCAGCGCUUUCAGGAUAUGGAAGGGCAGACAUAGCGCGUUGACUACGAAACAACAAAUUUUCAUAAAGACACUCAUUGUGGCGCACAAGUUGACCCCCGUGGCAGGCGGCAGCAGCAACAGCAAUACCAGUGAGUCGUCUACGGCCACACACCCACGCACAGCCGAACCUCCGAGCAUGCGCAGUCAAACCAAUCGACUCCUGUUUCAAGUGCGCAACCAAUAGAACAUUACGCGUGGAGUUCUACCAUGUUGCUCCAGGACAAAUGUACAAAUCAGCAGAAAGAGCCGACGAGU